CGGACGGGGUGGAGGUAAUGUAUGGGGAUCUGCCUGAUGGCGGGGGAUAACUACUGGAAACGGUAGCUAAUACCGCAUAAUGUCUACGGACCAAAGCGGGGGGACCGUCCGGGCCUCGCGCCAUCAGAUGAACCCAUAUGGGAUUAGCUUGUAGGUAAGGUAACGGCUUACCUAGGCGACGAUCCCUAGCUGGUCUGAGAGGAUGACCAGCCACACUGGAACUGAGACACGGUCCAG
rnacentral:rRNA from 1 species